CUGUGAGAACUCAGGCAAUGUUCUGUCUACUCUCUGUCAUCUUGGCUCCAUCCCAAUCCCCUUUUCUUGUUGGCGAGUUCCUCCCAGGAGCCUCCAUUUUGAGGUAAAAGAGACCUCUAUCUGCGUCAUUUCUAAGCUAGAUUUGAUCACUGAAGGACAUUGCUUCAGUCAGGCUGAAACCAAGGAAAGACCUUAGUUUACAAAAGCCAAAAUAUCCCAUUGCAUCCAGGGCCAUCUCUAAUCAUCCUGCCUUCUAUCUUGAUCCAGAUGGUUCCAGAGGAGAAGGUUUCCUGAUUGAUCCAAGGAGCAAAUGUGGUCAGCCCUGUUUUGCAAAGGAGAGGAUUUGAAAAGGAUGUUAGAUGUUGGUCAUACUACUCUCCAAUUUUUCCA